GACUCCCCUUCUACAUUGGAAGAGAUCGAAGGAGGUGCACAUUCAAUCUGCUGAGGUGGAGAGACGACGACCUCUACUUCCGAGACCGGCUGCUCCUGAGGUCGAGGAGGGGAGCUCGGUACUUCUACCAAGUCUUGUCGAGGUGUUUGAGCAGCGGUGGCAGUAGCCUCUUUCAUCGCUCGUACCUUUUGGGAGACCUCCCUCUUUCGCUUGC
rnacentral:misc_RNA from 1 species